rnacentral:rRNA from 1 species
UCAGGCCUAACACAUGCAAGUCGAACGGCAGCACAGUGGUAGCAAUACCAUGGGUGGCGAGUGGCGGACGGGUGAGUAAUGCAUCGGGACCUACCUGAACGUGGGGGAUAACGUAGGGAAACUUACGCUAAUACCGCAUACGUCCUACGGGAGAAAGCGGGGGACCUUCGGGCCUCGCGCGGUCAGACGGACCGAUGUUCGAUUAGCUAGUUGGUAAGGUAAUGGCUUACCAAGGCGACGAUCGAUAGCUGGUCUGAGAGGAUGAUCAGCCACACUGGAACUGAGACACGGUCCAGACUCCUACGGGAGGCAGCAGUGGGGAAUAUUGGACAAUGGGCGCAAGCCUGAUCCAGCAAUGCCGCGUGUGUGAAGAAGGCCUUCGGGUUGUAAAGCCCUUUUGUUGGGAAAGAAAUCCAGCCGGCUAAUACCUGGUUGGGAUGACGGUACCCAAAGAAUAAGCACCGGCUAACUUCGUGCCAGCAGCCGCGGUAAU